GAUGAACGCUGGCGGCGUGCCUAAUACAUGCAAGUCGAGCGAACGGACGAGAAGCUUGCUUCUCUGAUGUUUACGGCGGGCGGGUGAGUAACACGUGGAUAACCUACCUAUAAGACUGGGAUAAAUUCGGGAAACCGGAGCUAAUACCGGAUGAUAUUUUGAACCGCAUGGUUCAAAAGUGAAAAACGGUCUUUCUGUCACUUAUAGAUGGAUCCGCGCUGCAUUAGCUAGUUGGUAAGGUAACGGCUUACCAAGGCAACGAUGCAUAGCCGACCUGAGAGGGUGAUCGGCCACACUGGAACUGAGACACGGUCCAGACCCCUACGGGAGGCAGCAGUAGGGAAUCUUCCGCAAUGGGCGAAAGCCUGACGGAGCAACGCCGCGUGAGUGAUGAAGGUCUUCGGAUCGUAAAACUCUGUUAUUAGGGAAGAACAUAUGUGUAAGUAACUGUGCACAUCUUGACGGUACCUAAUCAGAAAGCCACGGCUAACUACGUG
rnacentral:rRNA from 1 species